rfam:Streptomyces atratus strain OK807 genome assembly, contig: Ga0007934_1002
GCCCUCGUAGCUCAGGGGAUAGAGCAUCGGCCUCCGGAGCCGUGUGCGCAGGUUCGAAUCCUGCCGAGGGCA